rnacentral:rRNA from 1 species
CCGUAGGUGACUGCGAAGGAUCAU